rnacentral:lncRNA from 1 species
ACUAUUCAUACGCCUCCAUCGGAUUCCAAUAACACCUUCAAAUCCUCGUUUGAUUACGAAGAACACGAAGAACAUACUUUGGUUUCUCUCGGUAUUCGUGCAGAGAAACUGGUGAAAAUGAUUUACGGUUGAAAAUAAGCUCUAGAAAGGUCUAUUUAUAUUUACAAAUAAUUGGUACCCCUUUGGAUCGUUUAUGACAUGAAAAUACGUAUUUAAUAGCUUUAUAUUAAUAAAGCAGGGUCCAAUCGGUACUGGUUUUCAAGAUAAUCAUCAAAACGGGGCUUUUUAAUCAGUCAUUAGUAUGCGGGUCCCACUGCAAUUAUUACAAGAUAAGAAUUAAUAUAAUAAUCAAAAUAUCUAGUUUCACGCUUAUCGAGACAAACUGGAUAAUUAUCAACAAUUCAAAUACCCGCAAAACUCCGCCGGACCGACUCCGGGAAAAACCGUACUCCGGAUCGAAAAAGUCAAAACACGAAAAAUGUCCGGAAUAUUGAAAUUAGGCUAAAGGUGAGUUUUGUUGAAACUUCCGGGAAGAAAAUUUGCUACCUCGUUACGAGUGGACGGUUUUACGGAAGUCAAAUAAUUAAUAAAUAAAUAUAAAUAUACGCAAUUAAAUCCGUAAAUCGAUUAUAAAAUCAUCUAACAUUCCAUAAAUCCAUAUGAAAAUAUCCAAAUAAACUAUAUUUUCUC